rnacentral:rRNA from 1 species
GAUUAACGCUGGCGGCGUGCAUAGCACAUUCAAGUCGAACGGAGUGUAGAAAUACACUUAGUGGCGGACGGGUGAGUAACGCGUGAGCAAUCUACCCUCCAGUGAGGGAUAACAACCGGAAACAGUUGCUAAUACCUCAUGAAAUAGCAGCAUCGCAUGGUGCAACUAUCAAAGAUUUAUUGCUGGAAGAUGAGCUUGCGUCUGAUUAGAUAGUAGGCGGGGUAGCGGCCCACCUAGUCGACGAUCAGUAGCCGGACUGAGAGGUUGAACGGCCACAUUGGAACUGAGAUACGGUCCAGACUCCUACGGGAGGCAGCAGUGGGGAAUAUUGGGCAAUGGGCGAAAGCCUGACCCAGCGACGCCGCGUGAGGGAAGAAGAUCUUCGGAUUGUAAACCUUAGUCAACAGGGAAGAAGAAAGUGACGGUACCUGUGGAGGAAGCCACGGCUAACUACGUGCCAGCAGCCGCGGUAACAC